GUGAUUAUUAAGGUUAAUUUUAAUUAUUAUAAUAUAUUAGAUUAGUAUUAUGAGUGAGCGUUGUGAAGUUUUAUAGAUUAAUAGUACUGUUGAGGAAUUAGAUAUAUUUAUUUAUAAUAUUAGGUUAUUUAGUACCUUUUGUAUUAGGGUUUAUUAAUGUGUUUUGAUUUUAAUUUUUUCUCGAUGAAUAUCGAGCUAUUUUGUUGGGUGUUGUUUUUGUUGAAUAAAAUUAAUUACAGCUUUAUAGUUAUGAAAUAUUAUUCAAGUUAUUUUUUAUCUAGUUUUCUAAGAAAUAUAAUUAAAGAUAUUUGUAUUAUAAAUAUAUGUUGGGAUUAGCUGGCUUAUUGUUUGUAUGUUUUGUGGAAUUUAUUUUAUUAGUGGAGUUAAAAGUUCUUAUUUAUAGGAUGUUAUUAUUUAUUAGAGUUUAUUUUUAUUAUUUUUUGAGAUUGUAUUGAGAUUAGGAAUAUUAAUCUAAUUUGGAUUUGGUGUUAUAAUGAUAAAAUUAGUAAUAUUUGAAUUUGUUAAUUUGGUUUAUAAAUUUUUUUGUAUGUAGAAGGAGUUUAUAUUAAUAUUGAAUAAUUAGGCAAAAUUAGCUUUUGACUGUUUAGCAAAAACAUUGUUUUUUGUUUGGAUAAAAAAUAAGGUCUGUCCGCUGCUUAAUAGUGAAGGGCUGCAGUAUUUUGACUGUAUGAAGGUAGCAUAAUCAUUAGUUUUUUAAUUGGAAACUGGUAUGAAGGUGAAACAGGGGCUUUCUAUUUUAAUAUUAAUUAAUGAAUUUUAUUUUUAUGUGAAAAAUCAUAAGUGAGUUAAAGGGACAAGAAGACCCUAGUAAGUUUUAUUUUUUAUUGUGAGGGAUAUAUAGUUUAUUUAAUUAAUGUAUUUUGUGAUUUAAGAAUUUGACUGGGGCGGUAUGUAAUUAAACAUUAUUUAAUAUUUAAUUUUUGAUAGCGUGAGUUGGACCUGAGGUGGUCAGUUAAAGGUUAAAUUACUGUAGGGAUAACAGCGUAAUUUUUUUUGAGAGUUCUUAUUGACAGAAGA
rnacentral:rRNA from 1 species